rnacentral:rRNA from 1 species
AGCGAACGCUGGCGGCAUGCCUAACACAUGCAAGUCGAACGAGACCUUCGGGUCUAGUGGCGCACGGGUGCGUAACGCGUGGGAACCUGCCCUUAGGUUCGGAAUAACUCCCCGAAAGGGGUGCUAAUACCGGAUAAUGUCUUCGGACCAAAGAUUUAUCGCCUUUGGAUGGGCCCGCGUUGGAUUAGCUAGUUGGUAGGGUAAAAGCCUACCAAGGCGACGAUCCAUAGCUGGUCUGAGAGGAUGAUCAGCCACACUGGGACUGAGACACGGCCCAGAAUCCUACGGGAGGCAGCAGUGGGGAAUAUUGGACAAUGGGCGAAAGCCUGAUCCAGCAAUGCCGCGUGAGUGAUGAAGGCCUUAGGGUUGUAAAGCUCUUUUACCCGGGAUGAUAAUGACAGUACCGGGAGAAUAAGCUCCGGCUAACUCCGUG